rnacentral:rRNA from 1 species
CCUACGGGCGGCUGCAGUGGAGAAUAUUGGACAAUGGGCGCAAGCCUGAUCCAGCCAUACCGCGUGGGUGAAGAAGGCCUUCGGGUUGUAAAGCCCUUUUGUUGGGAAAGAAAUCCAGCUGGCUAAUACCCGGUUGGGAUGCCGGUACCCAAAGAAUACGCACCGGCUACCUUCGUGCCAGCCGCCGCGGUCAUACCCAGGGUGCCCGCGCUCCCCGGAAUUACUGGGCGUACAGCGUGCGUAGGUGGUCGGGUAAGUCCGGGGUGAAAGCCCGGGGCGCAGCCUGGGGACUGCAGUGGGGACUGGGCGACUAGAGUGUGGUAGAGGGUAGCGGAAUUCCUGGUGUAGCAGUGAAAUGCGUAGAGAUCAGGAGGAACAUCCAGGGCGAAGGCAGCUACCUGGACCAACACUGACACUGAGGCACGAAAGCGUGGGGAGCAAACAGGAUUAGAUACCCUGGUAGUC